GAAGAUUUUCAAUUUUCAGUUCUUGGACUUUCCGCAUUUUAAAAUUCUACGAAUAAGAUUUUCGCGUCUAUGAAAAUUCGA